rnacentral:rRNA from 1 species
UGAGUAACCUGCCCUUAACUCUGGGAUAAGCCUGGGAAACUGGGUCUAAUACCGGAUAUGACUCCUCAUCGCAUGGUGGGGGUGGAAAGCUUUUUGUGGUUUUGGAUGGACUCGCGGCCUAUCAGCUUGUUGGUGGGGUAGUGGCCUACCAAGGCGACGACGGGUAGCCGGCCUGAGAGGGUGACCGGCCACACUGGGACUGAGACACGGCCCAGACUCCUACGGGAGGCAG